rnacentral:lncRNA from 1 species
CUCUCCGAAGCCUCCCAUGGUCCCUUAGGUCCCACAAAAGAGAGAAUAGGACAGAGAAAAGGCCUCGCUCGGGAUCCACAAGCAAACAUCUCCGAAAAACACUUUAUAGACAAUACAAAUUACAAACAGACCUUACAAGCUCUUAACAGUUGCACAACAAAGGGUAAAAUGGUCCAUUACAGACCGAAAAUCUCUCGUACGUGUCCACAUGACACAACCUUUAUUUACAAGCCUAAAGAGGCCACCAAUCCAACUAAAAUGGGACUAUUAAGCCUUUGGCCGCCCCUCUACAUGCUGUACAAGGCAUGAACAUGCCGAAAGACACGGACAUACAUAAGCAUUACAUCAAACAUCCUGUUUCGAAGUUUGUCCGUGACAUUCUCCCCCACUUAUCCCUUCGACGUCCUCGUUGAAGCCUUUAUCGACACUGCAACUCCUCGCCUUUGCUGAUUCUUCAAUCUUCUGCUCCAGCUACAAUGCGCCUCUUGACUCCCAGUUGCUCUCCGCUACUGUUUUUGAGUAGUCAAAUCUUUGAUCCGCCAUGCUGCUUUAACUCACCAAUGACUCUGACUCUGGUGUGGGGUUGGCUGAGUUGUAUUGAUC